GAAAAAACGCCUAUUGUAGCCCCCUUGUUGAGGGGGGCAUACAUAAGUGAGCCUCAAUAACCACCCAGUCAACGCGGGUCAAAUAUUUUACUAACAGAUUGGGGCGGGCUUUUGUGGGGUUCGCUUCUAUAGAUACUGUUGAAGGGGGCUUUUGAUUGCCCGCCUCAAUAGACACUAGUCUAAAGGGGCGGGCUUAUGUUUGUUCGCUUCAACAGGUCUUCACAAUCUACUGCGUUUUAAUUCUAUCUCCUCCUCAUUUCAUCUGUUUCAUUUCUCUCUCUUCUCUUCGCUCUCCUCUCUCCUCUCUCUCCUGGUUCAAAACUCCUCAAACCCGCUAUUUCGUCAACAAAUCGGGCUACCUCUCCUCACAGUCGUUGGCUUCCAUGGAAGCUUUUCCUCCGCCUUCCAUGGAAGAGUUACAAAGCUAGGGUAUCUCCGCGACCUCUCUCCCUCGACUCUUCAAACUCGUCGAUUUGUCUCCCUCCUCAAGCUAGGGUAUAUCGAUUCGACCGUCAUCUACUUAGCAUUCUCGAGGAAGACGGCGUCGUUCUCCAAAUGAGGUAACUCUUUCAUCUCUCUCCAUCUCUCCUGCAUUCUUCAAUUCUUUUAGGUUUUUGAUUUUUCAUAUUAUUUUUUAUUAACUUUUUUGAUUUAUAAUUUAGGUUUUUGAUUAUUUUUGUUGAUUUUAACGAUUUUUUAUUUUCUAACGGGAGGUGCGGCUCGGGUUUCGGUAGGUCGUGGGUGGUCGGAUGAGGCGACGCAAGCAAGGUGAUGGCUUGCUGGUGGCUCUGAUCUUGCGGUGCUAUAUAUCCAAGUCCUGCAGCAUCUAAAGCUGAGUUAUAUGUAGUCAUGACCAGUAUGGUUUAUUUCAGGAUCACAACCAUGCUCAAUGUGGAAUUACAGAGUGUAGUAAACUGAAGGAUUUGAAGACUGCAUUUCUGACAGAUGACGCAACAACAAUUUGUUUAGAGAUUCUGGAGAAAGGAGAUCUUCAAGUUGCAGGGAAAGAAAGGCAG